UACGUAGGGCGCAAGCGUUGUCCGGAAUCACUGGGCGUAAAGCGCACGUAGGCGGAUGUGUCAGUCAGGGGUGAAAUCCCGGAGCUCAACUUCGGAACUGCCUUUGAUACAGCACGUCUUGAGUCCGGAAGAGGUGGGUGGAAUUCCUAGUGUAGAGGUGAAAUUCGUAGAUAUUAGGAAGAACACCGGUGGCGAAGGCGGUUCUCUGGGCAUUACCUGACGCUGAGGAGCGAAAGUGUGGGGAGCGAACAGG
rnacentral:rRNA from 1 species